rnacentral:lncRNA from 10 species
AAGUCCAACUAAGUAAACAGAAACCACUCUAGGUAUUUGAAACCAGGGGAAAUUAAUAUAGAGAAUGGGUUACCUAGGUGAAGAGCUGGAAAGACAACUAGAAAAUAGUGUCUUUCAGUUCAGAGAUGAAUAAUAGCAGGAAGCCACUAUCACCCGUAAGCUGGCGGAACAACAGGAAGAGGCAGGAUCGCAGCAACCCAAGGCUUAGGCUUACCCUGUAAGAAACUGGAACCGGAGCAGGAGCUAGAACCAAGGAAGAAAUGCAAAUUCUCUGCCAGAGACACCUCUGAAGGCAGAGGGGAGGAGAAACACCCUGGUCUCUCCUUUCCUGAUCCCCUUUGGUCUUCUGCCAGUGCCUCCCUCUGGCUGGACCCCGUCAGAAACCAGGUGACACAAGAAUGACAAAUGCAUCUGGAGCCCACAAGUCCUGGUCCAAAGAAGCAUUCUAUUUAGCAAGAAAUGCAACGAAGUGCUGGAAAUGAAAAUAACCCAACAAAGACACCCAAGGUCCCAAAGGCAGAGCCCAAAGGAGCAUGGAGUUCAUCUGGUCCAAGUCCUGGUUCUAUAGGUGAGAGUUCAAAGAGGAAAAUGAUGUGACUUGCCCAAAACAAUGACACAGCUGGCUCCGGGCAGUCUGGAACCCGGGCAUCAGCUUCCCAGUUCAUAGCUGUUUUCACAACAUUAACUUUACAAUCAUAAAAA